rnacentral:rRNA from 1 species
UACGGGGGGAGCAAGCGUUAUCCGGAAUCACUGGGCGUAAAGCGUCUGUAGGUGGUUUAAAAAGUCCACUGUUAAAAAUUGAAGCUUAACUUCAAAGAUGCCGUGGAAACUUUUAAACUUGAGUAUGGUAGGGGUAGAGGGAAUUUCCAGUGGAGCGGUGAAAUGCGUAGAUAUUGGAAAGACCACCAAUGGCGAAGGCACUCUACUGGGCCAUUACUGACACUGAGAGACGAAAGCUAGGGGAGCAAAUGGG